UACGUAGGGUGCGAGCGUUAAUCGGAAUUACUGGGCGUAAAGGGUCCGUAGGCGGCCCUGUAAGUCAGUGGUGAAAUCUCCCGGCUCAACCGGGAAAUUGCCAUUGAUACUGCAGGGCUUGAAUUAUCGGGAAGCAACUAGAAUAUGUAGUGUAGCGGUGAAAUGCUUAGAUAUUACAUGGAAUACCGAUUGCGAAGGCAGGUUGCUACCGGUGGAUUGACGCUGAUGGACGAAAGCGUGGGGAGCGAACAGG
rnacentral:rRNA from 1 species